rnacentral:rRNA from 1 species
GACGAACGCUGGCGGCGUGCUUAACACAUGCAAGUCGAACGGGUCUGCCCUGUUUUUUGCGGGGUGGGUCAGUGGCGAACGGGUGAGUAACACGUGAGUAACCUGCCCCUCACUUCUGGAUAACCGCUUGAAAGGGUGGCUAAUACGGGGUGUUCUGGCUGUGCCGCAUGGUGUGGCUGGGAAAGAUUCACUUUUGUGGUGUUUUGGUGGGGGAUGGGCUCGCGGCCUAUCAGCUUGUUGGUGGGGUGAUGGCCUGCCAAGGCUUUGACGGGUAGCCGGCCUGAGAGGGUGGGCGGUCACACUGGGACUGAGAUACGGCCCAGACUCCUGCGGGAGGCAGCAGUGGGGGGUACUGCACGAUGGGCGGAAGCCUGAUGCAGCGACGUCGCGUGAGGGAUGGAGGCCUUCGGGUUGUGAACCUCUUUCGCCGGUGAAGAAGGUCCUGCUCUUUGUGGUGGGGUUGACGGUAGCCGGGUUAUGAAGCGCCGGCUAACUACGUGC